UACGGGGGGGGCAAGCGUUGUUCGGAAUUACUGGGCGUAAAGGGUUCGUAGGUGGCUUGUUAAGUCAGACGUGAAAUCCCUCAGCUUAACUGGGGAACUGCGUCUGAGACGUGGUGAGCUUGAGUGCAGGAGAGGAACGCGGAAUUCCAGGUGUAGCGGUGAAAUGCGUAGAUAUCUGGAGGAACACCGGUGGCGAAGGCGGCGUUCUGGACUGCAACUGACACUGAUGAACGAAAGCCAGGGGAGCAAACGGG
rnacentral:rRNA from 1 species